rnacentral:rRNA from 1 species
UACAGAGGGGGCAAGCGUUAUUCGGAAUUAUUGGGCGUAAAGGGCGCGUAGGCGGCUUGGCAAGUGGAAGGUGAAAUCCCUCGGCUUAACCGAGGAACUGCCCUCCAAACUGCUUCGCUUUGAGACCGGGAGAGGUGAGUGGAAUUCCCAGUGUAGCGGUGAAAUGCGUAGAUAUUGGGAGGAACACCAGUGGCGAAGGCGGCCAGCUGGGCCGACCCUGACGCUGAGGCGCGAAGGCGUGGGGAGCAAACAGGG